rnacentral:rRNA from 1 species
UACGUAGGGUGCAAGCGUUAAUCGGAAUUACUGGGCGUAAAGCGUGCGCAGGCGGUUCUAUGAGACAGAUGUGAAAUCCCCGGGCUCAACCUGGGAACUGCAUUUGUGACUGUAGAGCUAGAGUACGGUAGAGGGGGAUGGAAUCCCGCGUGUAGCAGUGAAAUGCGUAGAUAUGCGGAGGAACACCGAUGGCGAAGGCAAUCCCCUGGACCUGUACUGACGCUCAUGCACGAAAGCGUGGGGAGCAAACAGG